UGGGGAAUAUUGGACAAUGGGCGCAAGCCUGAUCCAGCCAUGCCGCGUGUGUGAAGAAGGCCUUUUGGUUGUAAAGCACUUUAAGCGAGGAGGAGGCUACUUGGAUUAAUACUCUAGGAUAGUGGACGUUACUCGCAGAAUAAGCACCGGCUAACUCUGUGCCAGCAGCCGCGGUAAUACAGAGGGUGCGAGCGUUAAUCGGAUUUACUGGGCGUAAAGCGUGCGUAGGCGGCUUUUUAAGUCGGAUGUGAAAUCCCUGAGCUUAACUUAGGAAUUGCAUUGGAUACUGGGAAGCUAGAGUAUGGGAGAGGAUGGUAGAAUUCCAGGUGUAGCGGUGAAAUGCGUAGAGAUCUGGAGGAAUACCGAUGGCGAAGGCAGCCAUCUGGCCUAAUACUGACGCUGAGGUACGAAAGCAUGGGGAGCAAACAGG
rnacentral:rRNA from 1 species